GAUGAACGCUGGCGGCGUGCCUAAUACAUGCAAGUCGAGCGAACGGACGAGAAGCUUGCUUCUCUGAUGUUAGCGGCGGACGGGUGAGUAACACGUGGAUAACCUACCUAUAAGACUGGGAUAACUUCGGGAAACCGGAGCUAAUACCGGAUAAUAUUUUGAACCGCAUGGUUCAAAAGUGAAAGACGGUCUUGCUGUCACUUAUAGAUGGAUCCGCGCUGCAUUAGCUAGUUGGUAAGGUAACGGCUUACCAAGGCAACGAUGCAUAGCCGACCUGAGAGGGUGAUCGGCCACACUGGAACUGAGAAACGGUCCAGACUCCUACGGGAGGCAGCAGUAGGGAAUCUUCCGCAAUGGGCGAAAGCCUGACGGAGCAACGCCGCGUGAGUGAUGAAGGUCUUCGGAUCGUAAAACUCUGUUAUUAGGGAAGAACAUAUGUGUAAGUAACUGUGCACAUAUUGACGGUACCUAAUCAGAAAGCCCCGGCUAACUACGUG
rnacentral:rRNA from 1 species